rnacentral:rRNA from 1 species
UACAGAGGGGGCAAGCGUUGUUCGGAAUUACUGGGCGUAAAGGGCGCGUAGGCGGCCUGCUAAGUCGAACGUGAAAUCCCCGGGCUCAACCCGGGAACUGCGUCCGAUACUGGUUGGCUUGAAUCCGGGAGAGGGAUGCGGAAUUCCAGGUGUAGCGGUGAAAUGCGUAGAGAUCGGGUGGAACACCAGGGGCGAAGGCGGCAUCCUGGCUCUGUUCUGACGCUGAGGCGCGAGAGCGUGGGGAGCAAACCGG